GAGACAGAGACCUGGGCACAGCGGCCCCUCGCGGGGUCCUGGGCAGCAAGCGGUAGCGCGGCCCGGUUUCGAGGAGCGGCGCUGCGUUUCGUGCCGGGGUCGCUGGGACCUGCGGGGCCAGAUCCAACCUGGCUAGAGUAUCUGGAAGUCUGAAAGAAGCAAAACAAGACAGAAAAUGACAUCAGAUUGAUUUGGCCGCUUAUAACUGGGAAUGUCCAUUUGAUGGAGCUGGUGUUACACUGAACACAUACUGGCCUUCCAUAAUUGCUACUGGAGACCUGAGGAUCUUCCUACUUUACAUCAUCUCCACUUGAGGUGCUGAGUUGAAGCCAAGCACACUACCUUUAGGGCAUUCCCAGCACCUACUAAACCCAGCGUCAGGAGAUGAAAUAAGCCUAUUUCUAAAACAGCCUUGUAAAACAGGCAUAAACGUAAGCCAGUUUAUGCAGAAAGUCUUGCCUGACUUUUGCAAUAGUGAUUGAUCAAACGAACAGCAUUUUAUUUGUCCAUUGAAAGCUCUCCUUGGGUUUCUCCCAUGUUGAUAAUGCCAGCACCCAAUCUUCGCUUCCCCUUGAAGCUGGAAUCAAGAGUCUGUACUCCUGCAACUGUACAACUACACACAAUUAGAGUAAAUGAACUGUUUCAGUAAGUUAGCAGUAACCACACAGAAGGUGGCCUUGACAUAGGCAUAUGCUACAGAGGCAUCUACAGCUGGGCACUCAGCAAUUACAAAAGUUUCCAGAGGAGCUGACCUCCAUGUGAAAACACCAUGGUCCUGAUUCUAUGCUGCCCUGCACCUUGGGUAGACAUUUAAAGCUGAGAAAAGUGUGUGUAAACCUCUAAAAGCCUGCUAUGGGCUAUCUGAGUUAAGCUUUAUGCAAGAAUAGGGGAAGUAGGGGGGAGGAGAGAAAGUGGCUUUACAUCACCUAUGUACCCCUAUAUUAUGGGGCUGUCCAGGAACCUGCUUGAACCUCUUGACCUGCAAUACAUUAAAGUAGCCACAGGGCUGCUCUAAUUUGUUUGUUUUCCCACAGACUCUUUAGUCUAGCAGAGAAAGGUGUAACACAAUCCUUUUUAAGUCCUUUAAAAUUGACGUGCUGAAUCAGAUUUCUUUGACAUUUGGUGUGCCUUAGAAAGGUGCAGGGUAAGGUUAGUGACCUAAUUUUUUGGAUCAAAUGAGUUAGGGGUUGUGGAGAUAUAAACUCUGAAAAAAUUGUCAUCUUUCAAAAAGUUUCCAGGUAAUUUUUGUUUGUUUGUUUGCACAGAACUAGAGAUAAAACUAUUGAUGUGAUGUGGGUCAAAAUGGUUUCAAUUUGUCAAGCAUUACUCAAGGGAGUGCAUAUAGUCCAUUAAAUCUUUGGGAGUCCCAAACUGAGAAGGUUUUUUAAGAACAUUUUCAUGUCUUUCCUUGUGUAGAUGUGCAGUCUGGAUUACAAUGCAUGUGCAACAAUAAAGAAAAAAAAACCAUGAGAGGAUUUCCAGGCAGCCUCUUUAUGCUUACACGGGUAGUUUGAGAGACUGUUCAAAUGCCAUUGCCUUUGGCAACACCCCACUACUGAUGUUUCUUUGUACACCAGUGCAAUAAAGAUAUAAUAACUCA